UACGUAGGGUGCGAGCGUUGUCCGGAAUUAUUGGGCGUAAAGAGCUCGUAGGCGGUUUGUCACGUCUGCUGUGAAAUCCCGAGGCUCAACCUCGGGCCUGCAGUGGGUACGGGCAGACUGGAGUGCGGUAGGGGAGAAUGGAAUUCCUGGUGUAGCGGUGGAAUGCGCAGAUACCAGGAGGAACACCGAUGGCGAAGGCAGUUCUCUGGGCCGUAACUGACGCUGAGGAGCGAAAGCGUGGGGAGCGAACAGG
rnacentral:rRNA from 1 species